GCGGUUUAAAUGAAAUUCCCAUCAUCAUUUUACACGCAACUUGUGGAAAUCAGCCUGAGGUUGACAACGGUUAGCGUGUUUAAAUAAAGUUAUCUAUUGACCUAGCUGGAAGAUAACUCGUAGUUACGUUUGAGCUAUAUGCGAGUAGACGCUGUUAAAGAGGAGGUCAAGUCUGUUCCGCGCAUGUGCUAUGCGAGGACCCUCUAAUGUAAACAAUACCCAAAUUUCGCGUUGUUUUCGACAACUUCUAAAUUAAACCUCUAAUCUAUAUUUAUUUAAAAGCAUAGCAAACCAGAACGAUGUUAGAUAUUAACUCAGUGCAUUAUAUUUACUACACAUCCUAUGUACGGACUUUGCAUGAC